rnacentral:lncRNA from 1 species
UAUACCUAAAAUUUUGGUAUUAAACUCGAUCUGACAUAAGAAUCAAAUGAUUAUCCAAAAUAUAAAAAUAUAUUCAAAAAAAUAAAAAUAAAUAUAUAUUAAAAAACUAUUAGUUAUAUUAAUAUUUGUAAUAAUUUAAGUAUCAUAUAUUAUAAUUAUAAACUGGAAUAUAUUAAUUAAUAUCUUGUUAUUUUUGUAGUUUGGAUAUUUUGAAUAAUUUAGAUACAAUAACUGAACUGUAUCCAUAGUUAUUUGCAAAUAAAAAAAAUAAACUAACGAAUAUUUGAAUAAAAACCGAACCAUACAAA